rnacentral:sRNA from 1 species
AUUUGGGUAGAUUACUGCCUUUCUAAAUAAUGCAAUCAAACCAAAAUGAGUUUGGGUGUAAGCUGUAAUCUUUCAAAUUCCUUUAGGGAUACACAUUUUUUAAAAUCAGGUACUAAUAUUUUUAAAUUUUUAAUAAUACAUUUCUUGUUAUUUUAAUUAGAUGCUUCAAAACUUAAAUAUUUAAAAAGAGGUUGAAUUGGUCAAGAAGUAUACUGAAAAAAAAAAUUUACUCAAAUAUUUUAUUAUUUUAUUUUAUCUUAAAACACAGGAGGCUGGAAGCAUCAAUAAGUCCCUCUCUGUCUUAGGGAAUGUCAUCAUGUCUCUGAGCUAUGGAAAAAAAACGUCACAUCCCUUACAGAAACUCCAAAUUAACAUUUUUGUUGAGGGAUUCAAUUGGUGGAAAAACAAAGACAAGAAUGAUAGCCUGUGUUCAUCCAGACUCCAGGUGUUGCUAGAAACAUUAUACACUUUAAAGUUUGCCAAAAGUGCCAAACAAAAGAAAAAUAAGGUAUGACUUUAAUCAGAUACAUUUU